UCCUUUUGAGAGUGUCAGUUUUUUGUCUCCACCCCUGUUCCCCUGGUUACCCUCUGUCAAUCCCUCCCUGAGUUCCUGUCCAUCAGCCACUGUCCCCUUCCCUAUUUCCAGAAAGUUCUCCCCUCCUCGCUCAGAAAGCCACCUGUAUCCUGGACUUCAUCAAAGGAAACUUGGUCGGCAGGUAGAAGGUGGUUCUCCUCCUCUACUCUGCUCUUGUCAGACCCCAGGAUUCAACCUAAUUUAGAGAAGGCUUCCAUGGUUUUCGUAUAGAAAAUGAAAAUGCUGUGAGCUUGAACGGGGUUGGAGCUAACCAGAAUCAAAUAUAUUAAACCUCGUGAAGGUCCUUGCCAGCUACUGGAUUAGCCCAUCACAUUCUGACAUUCAGACUUCCAUCACAGCAGACAUUUUCUAUGCAGCAUGAAGUGUUGUCGCAGGCUCUUGCUGCUUGUGAGACCUUAUUUCACCAGGAACAGAGCAGCCCCUGGCAGAUACCAAUGAUAAGCUGAUUCCCUGUCUCUUCCCUCAACUCAUCAUUCACUUGCAAGAAAAGUGGAAUUGUCCGAGCUAUUUGCUGCUCUCCAAGUCACAAUGACCUAAUUGACUAGGAUUGCUGUGAAGAAAUAUCAUCAGUUAGCUGUUUAUUGCCUUCAAAAACUCCUUUUUGUAAACCCUCAGGAACAAAGAAAUGUAUGUUGUAGUUACAUCUGAGGGACAAACAAAAUUUUAAUCUUCCAUCAACAUACUUGAGACACAUGAUGUUGUUGUUAGUUGGACUAAAAUGAAAUCCAUUUUUAGGCUAGUGUUAAUUAUCCCUAGGCAAAUACCAGUAUGAGCUUCAUAUAACAUAAUUAUUAAAUGUUGAUUUUUAACUAAGAGAUAUUUGCAAUAUAAAAGGAUCUUUUAUCUGUUAGAAAAAAUAUUUUAAUUUCUAGUUUUUGUAAUGUUCAAUUUUUUAAUUACUAUAUUUUCUUUUACAGUAAAUUUUAAUAGAAUAUAAAUUCAAGAGCUAGUUUUUUAUAACAUCUUUUUAAUAGUUACUAUUGUGGAAGCUGGGCACUCUGACCCUAAUUAACAUUGUAUGCUAUUUUUCACUGCCUGAAGGGAACAGCUAAAUUUUCCUUGCUGAUCAUAAUCAAAAGCCUGUUUGUUUAGCAAUCAUUAUUAUAAUAAAAAGAGAGCGAGUGAGAAGGAGGGAGAGACUAUUUAUGUAAGUGUCUGUGCCCAUGCCACAGAGAUGUCUGCUUUCAAAACAGAAAGAAAAAGUCUCUCAGCUCCCAACUGAAAUUCUCCAACUAAAUCCCUGAACAUCACUUUGAAAACAUGCACCUAAUGUUCAUAAAAGUGUAGGGUUUUUCUUUCAGCAAAGAGAAAGUCUGGUCAGAUUUAUUUUGCCCCUCCUCUUGUUCUGGUACACUAUCUUGGUGGGCUUUGUGAAAACUCUGCAGAGAGACAUAUCUACACUCCUCUAACAAAAACAAUUCUCUUUAGUUCAGAAAUGAAAGAAGGCUUCAUCAGCUUUUUGUUUCUAUUUUUUUUUUUUUUCAUGCUGAUAAAUUCUUUUUUCUUCUUAUCCUGAAGAGGAUAUCUAAAAGGGAGAGUUGAAGCAGUGCUAUAAAUUGGUGUCAUGCUUGGGGGAAGGGAAGUCACUCAGUUGGGACCUUGGAGGCUCUAGAAGGGAACACUCUAGGGAAAAAAAUUUCCUAUCUUUAUUGUUCACUUGCAGAGAAUAUCUUCAGUAGCUUGUAGAAAUGAAGCAGGGCUGGAGAGGUUUCUUUUCAUAACUUGUUGGAGUAAUCUGCAGUGUCAACUCCUGCUUAAGGGCAAGACCAGGCUGCCCACUGGGGCUGGCUUCUGAGGAAAAGCGGGUCAGAAGCCAAAUGUAUAGCCAGAAAAGAAGGCUUACUUUUCCUAUUGCAGAAAGGGACCAUUUGAAAAUAAGAUUGCACAAAAAAGUUGAAACAGGUUUUCACUAGUGACUCAAUUUGUAUUCUGUUUUCCACUCAAGAAGAUUUC